AACGAACGCUGGCGGCAUGCCUAACACAUGCAAGUCGAACGAGACCUUAGGGUCUAGUGGCGCACGGGUGCGUAACGCGUGGGAACCUGCCUUUAGGUUCGGAAUAACUCAGAGAAAUUUGAGCUAAUACCGGAUGAUGUCUUCGGACCAAAGAUUUAUCGCCUUUAGAUGGGCCCGCGUUGGAUUAGCUAGUUGGUGGGGUAAAGGCCUACCAAGGCGACGAUCCAUAGCUGGUCUGAGAGGAUGAUCAGCCACACUGGGACUGAGACACGGCCCAGACUCCUACGGGAGGCAGCAGUGGGGAAUAUUGGACAAUGGGCGAAAGCCUGAUCCAGCAAUGCCGCGUGAGUGAUGAAGGCCUUAGGGUUGUAAAGCUCUUUUACCCGAGAUGAUAAUGACAGUAUCGGGAGAAUAAGCUCCGGCUAACUCCGUG
rnacentral:rRNA from 1 species